GAUGAACGCUGGCGGCGUGCUUAAUACAUGCAAGUCGAACGGAGAGUGUAGCAAUAUACUCUUAGUGGCGAACGGGUGAGUAACGCGUUGGUGACCUGCCCCGAAGUGAGGGAUAACAGUUCGAAAGGACUGCUAAUACCCCAUGUGGUCUUAGAGAUUAGAUGCUUUUUGACUAAAGGUGCAAAUCGCUUCGGGAGGGACCUGCGUCCCAUCAGCUUGUUGGUAGGGUAACGGCCUACCAAGGCGACGACGGGUAGGGGACCUGAGAGGGUGACCCCCCACACUGGCACUGAAACACGGGCCAGACACCUACGGGUGGCAG
rnacentral:rRNA from 1 species